CGAAGCUCCAGCCGGGAGUAGUCUGUUAGCUUCAUGAGCCGGAUCCAUGGGUCGCAGGACGACUUCCUUCACUUCAGACUUCACUUCUCCCCUUCAGGAGCCUGGCAGUCAAAUCAGUCAUUUUCAGAUCAUACUCAUCGCAUCCGCGUCCUUGCCAGCCUUGAAGUCGGCCUCAAUGUAUUCGUAUAUGAGAAAAGAUGAUUUAAAUACUGCCAGUUACAGGAUAAUUAAUCUUUGAACUACUCGGUAACUUCAAAUGUAUAUACCAAGUAAUCUGCAUGAACUUGUAAUUACUAUGUAUUUAUACGAUAUUUCUCAUGUAAUCACCAAGUCGUUACAUGGUUACGUGAGCCUUGUAAAUUAUGGCAAUAGCAGAAAACUAAUCUCACCCACGCCACCGCAAAAAGCCCA
rnacentral:lncRNA from 1 species